rnacentral:rRNA from 1 species
GGAUGAGCCCGCGGCCUAUCAGCUAGUUGGUGAGGUAACGGCUCACCAAGGCGACGACGGGUAGCCGGCCUGAGAGGGUGACCGGCCACACUGGGACUGAGACACGGCCCAGACUCUUACGGGAGGCAGCAGUGGGGAAUAUUGCACAAUGGGCGCAAGCCUGAUGCAGCGACGCCGCGUGAGGGACGACGGCCUUCGGGUUGUAAACCUCUUUUAGCAGGGAAGAAGCGAAAGUGACGGUACCUGCAGAAAAAGCACCGGCUAACUACGUGCCAGCAGCCGCGGUAAUA